rnacentral:rRNA from 1 species
GUAAGGAAUAUUGGACAAUGGACGCAAGUCUGAUCCAGCCAUGCCGCGUGAAGGAUUAAGGUCCUCUGGAUUGUAAACUUCUUUUAUAAGGGACGAAAAAAGGCUUUUCUAAGUCGUCUGACGGUACCUUAUGAAUAAGCACCGGCUAACUCCGUGCCAGCAGCCGCGGUAAUACGGAGGUUGCAAGCGUUAUCCGGAUUCACUGGGUUUAAAGGGUGCGUAGGCGGGCAGGUAAGUCAGUGGUGAAAUCCUAGAGCUUAACUCUAGAACUGCCAUUGAUACUAUCUGUCUUGAAUAUUGUGGAGGUAAGCGGAAUAUGUCAUGUAGCGGUGAAAUGCUUAGAUAUGACAUAGAACACCUAUUGCGAAGGCAGCUUACUACGCAUAUAUUGACGCUGAGGCACGAAAGCGUGGGGAUCAAACAGGAUUAGAAACCCUUGUAGUCC